rnacentral:rRNA from 1 species
GACGAACGCUGGCGGCGUGCUUAACACAUGCAAGUCGAACGGAAAGGCCCUGCUUUUGUGGGGUGCUCGAUUGGCGAACGGGUGAGUAACACGUGAGUAACCUGCCCCUGACUUUGUGAGAACUUCAGGAAACUGGGGCUAAUACCGGAUAUGAUCUCCUGCUGCAUGGGGGUGGUUGGAAAGUGUCGGCGGUUGUGUAUGUACUCGCGGCUUAUCAGCUUGUUGGUCGGGUAGUGGCUUACCAAGGCUUAGACGGGUAGCCGGCAUGAGAGCGGGACCGGGCUCAAUGGUCCUGCGAUAAGGAGCAGUAGCGUAGGGGCGGCAACAGUGGGAAAUAUUGCACAAUGAGCGCAAGCCUGAUACAACGACGCCGCGUGCGGGAAGACGGGCUACGGGUUAUAAACAGCUUUCGACUGAAACGAAGCGUGAGUGACGGUACUGAGUCAAGAAGCAACGGCUAACUGCGUG